rnacentral:snRNA from 1 species
AUAUGUAAGGGUGAUCUGGCUAUGACAUCUGUCACCUCAUCGAUCUCCAGGGUUAAUUCGGCUGAUCUGACUGGCUAGGUGGUUGUCCCCUUCCUCUGUCACUGCUCCGUGUGUAUCCUUGUCAAAGCUGCUUGCUCCCUCAAAGAGGCUGAUGUUCUUGGAAUAGAGAUGGACUGGUCUUGUCAAGGAUACAUGAGAAGCUGCGUUCCCCUGAUAGAACAUCCAAAAAAGCUCUAAAAAAAAAAUGCCAGCAAUUCAAGUGCAAAUACUCAAACCAAGUGGAAGACUAAAAUAUGGAUUAGUAAGU